CUUCACCAACCCCAUAUCAUCCUGUACCCGUUUAUAAAUCUCCACCCCCACCAACUCCAGUUUACAAGUCGCCACCACCACCCAAGAAGCCACAAUAUCCUCCACACAUCCCGGUUUAUAAGUCGCCACCACCACCAACUCCCGUUUACAAGUCACCACCACCACCCAAGAAGCCACACUACCCUCCACACAUCCCUGUUUAUAAGUCACCACCACCGCCCAAGAAGCCAUACUAUCCUCCACAUACUCCAGUUUACAAGUCGCCACCACCACCAACUCCGGUUUACAAGUCACCACCGCCACCCAAGAAACCAUACUAUCCUCCACACAUCCCUGUUUACAAAUCUCCACCACCACCUACUCCAGUUUACAAGUCGCCACCACCACCCAAGAAGCCAUACUACCCUCCACACACCCCGGUUUAUAAGUCUCCACCACCACCAACUCCUGUUUACAAGUCACCACCACCACCCAAGAAGCCAUACUAUCCUCCACACACACCAGUUUACAAGUCGCCACCACCACCUACUCCCGUUUACAAGUCACCACCACCACCAACACCCGUUUACAAGUCACCACCACCACCUAAGAAGCCACACCAUCCUUCACCAACCCCAUAUCAUCCUGCACCAGUUUACAAGUCCCCACCACCACCUAAGAAGCCAGACCACCCUUCACCAACACCGUAUCAUCCUGCACCAGUUUACAAAUCCCCACCGCCACCUACUCCAGUUUACAAGUCACCACCACCUUCAGUGAAGCCAUACCAUCCUUCACCAACACCAUAUCAUCCUGCACCAGUUUAUAAGCCUCCACCACCACCAACUCCUGUCUACAAGUCACCUCCACCACCAACUCCAGUCUACAAGUCUCUACCACCGCACCACCCCUAUCUUUACACUUCUCCUCCUCCUCCCUACCAUUACUAAGAAGUGUCAUCGCAAAGUUGAAGG
rnacentral:lncRNA from 1 species